GGCACGGAAACCAGUGGGAUGGAUCCAUAAUGUUGGUGAAACCUUGUUAUUAGGUGCUGGUGAUUUUUCUGUCCAAAAUACGAGCCAUUCUGUACAUUGGAAGCUUCCCAAAGGGCAAGCCUGCUGAGCAACGCAAGGAUAGUCAACUAAAGAUAACAUCUUUCAUGAAGAAGAUGACAGGCAGAAAAUAAAGAAGCCUGGAUGUGAAAGAGGACGAGGAGGCUGGAGGGAGUUCUAUAUCUACAGAAAAGAUCCAAGAAAUAUUUAACAAAGAACUUGAAACUUUUGAGGAAAAGAACUUGAAAGCGUAUCAGGAAAGAGAGAAGGAAAGAGAAAAAAAAUGAGAAAAUGCUGGAUGAGGUUUUGGGAGACCUGGAAAAAAGAUGGAGAGCAAAAAUUAAAAGAUUAAGGAUAAGGUCGAUGUAAUAUCAGGUAGCACUGAUAGUCUGGAUUCCAUAGUAGGUAAAAUAUCAGAGAAGGUCUCAGUGUAGUAUGAAAAGAUUAAAAAAAAACCAGAUAGGGCAGGAUGACUAUAAAACAGUGCUUUGGGAAUCAAAGAAUGUUAACAGAGCUUUAGAAAUACAACUGGAGAGAAUACAUAAUAGCCUUGAAGUAAUGCAACGGGAGGUCAGGAAGAAGAAUGCAAAACGAAGUGGACUACCAUAGGGACUGGAGAAGGGGAAAGCUAUAUCCUAUAGAUAUUGGCCAAAUGAGAUACUGACUAUUGAAAGCAAUAAGAUUGGAAUUCUGUCUGACACCCAGAUAUCCUUACAAAAUGAAGAAAAUAAAACACAGAUGGGGCACUCCCUUCAGACUUUCCAUCCUCUGUAACAGUCAACGGCUUACAAUAAAAUCAAUUGAGCAAGCAAAGGCAAUGGAAGAAAAAAAUAAAUUUUCUAAGUCAUCCAAAUACUCUGAAUCAGUCCUUGAAGAUGACAAGUUUCCCCAGCAGAGCUCUGUUCUGAAUGAAGUACAUGCUGAUACCUAAAUAAUUAAAAUAGAGUUUAGUGGUUAUAGGUGUACUAUAUGAACACUGCUGUUCUGUGCUGUGUUUGCUGUUUACUUUUUGUCUUUCUUGGUUUCCCCCCUUUCUUUUUCCUUUUCCUUUUUUUUAUUUUUCCAUUUUAAGAUCAGUUUUGGAAACUGACUCACCACACACUG